GCUUAACACAUGCAAGUCGUGCGCCCUGCGAGGGGAGCGGCGGACGGGUGAGUAACGCGUAGGAAUGUGUCCUGAGAUGGGGAACAACCCUGGGAAACUGGGGCUAAUGCCGCAUAUGGCCUAUGGGUCAAAGCCUUCGGGCGUCUUGGGAGCAGCCUGCGUCCGAUUAGCUUGUUGGUGGGGUAAUGGCCUACCAAGGCGACGAUCGGUAGCUGGUCUGAGAGGACGAUCAGCCACACUGGGACUGAGACACGGCCCAGACUCCUACGGGAGGCAGCAGUGGGGAAUAUUGGGCAAUGGGCGCAAGCCUGACCCAGCAAUGCCGCGUGGGUGAAGAAGGUCUUCGGAUUGUAAAGCCCUUUCGACGGGGACGAUGAUGACGGUACCCGUAGAAGAAGCCCCGGCUAACUUCGUGCCAGCAGCCGCGGUAAUACGAAGGGGGCUAGCGUUGCUCGGAAUUACUGGGCGUAAAGGGCGCGUAGGCGGUUUGGUCAGUCAGGCGUGAAAUUCCUGGGCUCAACCUGGGGGCUGCGCUUGAUACGGCCAGACUUGAGGACGGAAGAGGCUCGCGGAAUUCCCAGUGUAGAGGUGAAAUUCGUAGAUAUUGGGAAGAACACCGGUGGCGAAGGCGGCGAGCUGGUCCGUUACUGACGCUGAGGCGCGACAGCGUGGGGAGCAAACA
rnacentral:rRNA from 1 species